rnacentral:misc_RNA from 1 species
UCCGGUUUGUCACCGGCAGUCUCAUUAGAGUGCCCAACUGAAUGUAGCAACUAAUGACAAGGGUUGCGCUCGUUGCGGGACUUAACCCAACAUCUCACGACACGAGCUGACGACAGCCAUGCAGCACCUGUCUCAAGGUUCCCGAAGGCACUCUCGUAUCUCUACAAGAUUCCCUGGAUGUCAAGAGUAGGUAAGGUUCUUCGCGUUGCAUCGAAUUAAACCACAUGCUCCACCGCUUGUGCGGGCCCCCGCCAAUUCCUUUGAGUUUUAACCUUGCGGCCGUAGUCCCCAGGCGGUGAACUUAAUGCGUUAGCUGCGGCACUGAUCGGGUCAAUCCGACCAACACCUAGUUCACAACGUUUAGGGCGUGGACUAC